rnacentral:misc_RNA from 1 species
AAAUUCCUGGAUCUUGGACUGCAAUUAAGAAAAAUAAAAAUUCUUUAAAUUUUGCCUCUAUGAACUGAUGAAAGUCAAUAACAGAGAUUAUAUAAUUUUUAUGACGAAAUGUUUCAUAUCAGUAAUUAUGAAAUCAACACCAAAAGAAUUUAUUCCAACUAUGCAAAGGAAAUAUGAUAUUAUCAUGCAAUUAUAUCAACCAACCAUAAAUCUUAUGCCCACAAACAUUUGAAAAGACAUAUUGCUGGUAGCGGCAAACAUAGAGGUAAGUGUUUUGCAAUUUAUGCAUGGUAUGCAAUUAACUUGUAAGUAUUUCUGGAAAAAAUUAUAGCUUAAAGGCAGAUAUUAUUGGGAAAAUAAAAAUUGGGCACCAAUAAUGAAAAACUCAUUCAAACUGCACAUGGGAACCAUAAUUACUAUGAGAGUUCCACUGCCAGAUAAUUAUCUAUAUUCAUACAGAAGAAAUCCAUGAAUUUUUUGUCUGCAAGAUUUGAUGAGAUGAUCAUUUGGUUUGAAGAUAAAGUGAUUUAUGCUAAACAGGCUCUUUUAGUUGAAAAAAUAGAAUAAAAAAUAUCGAAGAAGAGUUCCAGCAUAUGCAGGUUUGAUAUAAAAUAAAUUAAUCAUAAAUCAGCUUCAAAAGGGUUACUGAUGAAAAUUUCAACAAAACCAUCAAUGUUAGAGAUCAGCUACUAAAAGCUAAUGAAUAAAAUUUGAAAUUAUCCAUGAUAGCAUGAUCUCUGUUGGAAUAUCACUUUUGGGAACAAGUCCCACAUCGUAGUGGACUAGAAAAUUAAAGGGCAAACAAGUGUUGGCAAACAAAACCAAAAUGGCUUAGGUCAUUUUGGUGAUGGGGAGCCCAAUCUCAAGCCCAAUUCAACUUGUAAUAUGCCAGUUUGAUAUUCAUACUCUUAGGUCCAUAAUGCUCAAUAGUUGGCAACCAAAUAGAUUUUUUUUUUAAUUAAUUUAUUUUUUUAUAUGUGGUCAUAUCAUCUAGGUUUCUGAAAGUCAAUAGCUUCUUUAAUUCUUUUCUACAAUUGCAAGCUAUUGAAGUCAGUUUCAUAUAGCAUGAGGAACUGUUCACGAGUAAGGAGAAUUCAUAUGAAUUCUUUUAUACUGUUUUUCUCUAUCUGGCGCAUGUUUUCCGAGUCAUAUUUCAUGUUUCUCAUGAUUUGGGCGUGUUCUAUUAGUUUAACAGGUAGUUACGAAUUUUCCUACAUUUUAAAACCAUGUUUCAACAUUAUUCAUCUAUUGUGAUUUUGCAGCAAUACGCUAUCUGCCUCAAUCUCAAGAAUGAUUAAUCAAAUUAAGACUUUUCAUUGUUCUCACUUUUCAUGCGUUUGGUUCUUCUUUGGCAUCCCUGUUUCUGAAUAUCUCUUUGUGGGUGUAAGAAUAGAAAUUUGCUGUAGUGAUCGAUUGUAUACAUUCCUUGUGGAUUAGAAUAUGGGUUGUUUGAGGAACUUUUAAGGUUGGUAAUUAGAGACUUUUACCAUUUAUUUUCUUGUGUUUGAAAUGUAUUGUGGUCAUGGAUCUGCAAAGAAACCACUAUGUUAGAUGGAGAAUUAUCAUGGAGGAAAAAUUUUUAUGUAAACUUAUUCUUGUGCCUUUCUUAAGGAAAGUCUUAGGGGAGGAAAAGUAAACUUCCCAUAAAUGUAGAAGCAGUGCACUGCUACGAAGGUUGCUCGUUUGUUUGGGAAAUUGUGCUGGAGAAUACAGUGGCCAUGGAGAACCUUAAAAUUAAGAUGAAUUAUUAUGGCUGAUAGAUGUUUAUCAUUGGAUGAGGUUACGCUAGUGCAGCUCCUUUUUUGAGGUGUGUUUCGGCUCACAGCAUUAGGACACCUUUGGGAUGGAAUAGUCUCUCUUGGUUUUUGGCUAAUACAUAUUAGAAAGGUUGCUUGAUACUUUAACUUUUGGUUUAGUGGGUAGUAGACUAGUAGUUUGAGGAUAUACGUAGUAUAAUGUAGAAACCCUAGGUGGUUGCACCCAAAAUAAUUUAAUUCAACCAAAAACCAAAUAUACCUUAGAGGCAACCUUAUAUAGAGAAAUUAACUAGAAAAUUACUAAAUUACCUUACAAAAAUACAAGAUUAUUUAUUAAUUUGCAUAUUAUUAGAAUGGCUACAAGAAGCAUAAUAUCUGCAAAUAGAUCCUUGCCAAUAUAGACCUGGGUCAUUAGGACUUGGGUUAUGCUUAUAGAGAGGAGUACAUGCUACAUAACAGUGUGUUCAGCUGCUGCAGCCUACUGCCUUUCUUCAUUCUUUGGCCUGUGCUCUCUCCUCCUGUCCAGUAAGUGAUUUCCCUCUUGUACAUGUAUUGGCAACCUCUUGAUACCCUUUAAUGCUUUUGUUUCUAUGCUUCUUCCCAACUCAGAAAGGCAAAAAAAGUUUACAAUGCAUUCUUAUCACUAGGAUAAUUUUUCAUCAAAAUUUUUCAAAAGUUUGUUAUAGGGAUUUGAUUGUUCACAUAAUGUACCUAGGUACAAAAUAAAUCUCACCACUGCCAGUUUUCAGGCACUUUUUUGCGGGCUUGUCAUAUAAAAAUAUUUGAUGGACAAGUGGAAGGAGCUAUAUAUGGUUUUUAAAGUUAAUAUAUCUGCAUUUAAUCAAAAUCACCAUGUGCUUUUCACCACCUCUAAACAUAUAAGUUUUUAAUUUACUAGUCAUUUUUUCGCUUUAUGCAUUGUAUGGAUCCUGUGCUAGUUGUUAAAACUGUUAAGUUUAUUGAAUUUGGCCUUGUACACCUGGUGCUAGUAGAAUAUCAUAGAAGGGUAAGAUCAAUACCAUAGUCAUAUGCAUGGUCUAUUUAUGUGUUUAUAUGCUGAGGAUGUUUCCCCAUUGACAGAGAAUUGUGAAUAUUAACAUUUUACUAUUGAAAUAUAGUCUGUCUAUUCAACAAGCUAAUUAACCUCUAAGCUAUAACAUUUAUAUUAAUAUUGUAUGUUAAAAUAUUAGGUUUUAAUUUGUACAUGUUAUAUUAUGUAGUUUGUCUCACAAUUACAUCAUCUAUAUUGGUAU